rnacentral:snoRNA from 1 species
AUCACUUAUGUGUAUUUCUAUUGAACUGGUGGACAAGGAAAGAUAGGCACAAGAAUACAUCGUCUUUUACAAUUCCAAACUCAUGGUUCAGUAUGAGUUUUGACACGAAUAAGAAGGAAAGA